rnacentral:lncRNA from 1 species
AUUUUUUAUUCAAUCUUUUAUCCCAUAUAGUUUUUUCUCUAUCAUAUUGUUCAUAGUUUUCAUUAUAAUAUUUUGGAUUAAAAUUUUUUGGGUUUUUUACUCCUGAUGUGCUAGGUUUUUCAUCCAUGUCUACGUCUCAUGUAUUUAUUUCUAAAUCCUUUGUAUUUUCUAUGUUUGCUAAAAGUUCCGUAUAUGUUUCGCUUGUUUCCGAAUGUUGUUCUAGAUCAUCAUCAUUUAUUUCAUCAAUUCUUAUUUCGGGUAGAUUAUCUUGGCUAUUUUCUUCUUUUUCUUCUAAUUCAUCUUGUAAUUGCAAUUUUUCUUUAAAUUUGACUAUCUCAUUUACUAAUUUUGUUUUUUGCUCUUUUUCUUUUUGUUUAAUUUCAUACAUUUC